ensembl:snRNA U6 U6 spliceosomal RNA
GUGCUCGCUUCAGCAGCACAUGUACUAAAAUUGGAACGAUGCAGAGAAGAUUAGCAUGGCCCCUGGGCAAGGAUGACACGCACAUUCGUGAAGCGUCAAAGUACGUG